ACAGUUUAACUUUUGUGCUUCUGGGCAGAGGUAUGGUCCUUGGGACAGUUCUCCUUCAACCUAAUAGUUAUGGCAGAGAUCAGGACACUUCUCUUUGCUGCCUGUGCACUGAGGCCUCAGAAUCUGCUCUACCCGACUUGACAGAUCACUUUGCCAGCUGUGUGGAGGAUGGAUUUGAGGGAGACAAGACUGGAGGCAGUAGUCCAGAAGCUUUGCAUCGUCCCUAUGGUUGUGAUGUUGAACCCCAGGCACUAAAUGAGGCUAUCAGGUGGAGCUCCAAGGAGAACUUGCUCGGAGCCACCGAGAGUGACCCUAAUCUCUUCGUUGCACUUUAUGAUUUUGUAGCAAGUGGUGAUAACACACUCAGCAUCACUAAAGGUGAAAAGCUACGAGUCCUUGGUUACAACCAGAAUGGCGAGUGGAGUGAAGUUCGCUCUAAGAACGGGCAGGGCUGGGUGCCAAGCAACUACAUCACCCCAGUGAACAGUCUGGAAAAACACUCCUGGUACCAUGGACCUGUGUCACGCAGUGCAGCUGAGUAUCUGCUCAGCAGUCUAAUCAAUGGCAGCUUCCUGGUACGAGAAAGUGAGAGUAGCCCUGGGCAGCUGUCCAUCUCGCUCAGGUACGAGGGACGUGUGUAUCACUACAGGAUCAAUACCACCACAGAUGGCAAGGUGUAUGUGACUGCUGAGAGCCGCUUCAGCACCUUGGCAGAGCUUGUACACCAUCACUCCACAGUGGCUGAUGGGCUGGUGACAACAUUACACUACCCAGCACCCAAGUGUAAUAAGCCUACAGUCUAUGGUGUGUCCCCCAUCCACGACAAAUGGGAAAUGGAGCGAACAGAUAUUACCAUGAAGCACAAACUUGGGGGCGGUCAGUAUGGAGAGGUUUACGUUGGCGUCUGGAAGAAAUACAGCCUUACAGUUGCUGUGAAAACAUUGAAGGAAGAUACCAUGGAGGUAGAAGAAUUCCUGAAAGAAGCUGCGGUAAUGAAGGAAAUCAAGCAUCCUAAUCUGGUACAACUUUUAGGUGUGUGUACUUUGGAGCCACCAUUUUACAUUGUGACUGAAUACAUGCCAUACGGGAAUUUGCUGGAUUACCUCCGAGAAUGCAACCGAGAAGAGGUGACUGCAGUUGUGCUGCUCUACAUGGCCACUCAGAUUUCUUCUGCAAUGGAGUACUUAGAGAAGAAGAAUUUCAUCCAUAGAGAUCUUGCAGCUCGUAACUGCCUAGUGGGAGAAAACCAUGUGGUAAAAGUGGCUGACUUUGGCUUAAGUAGAUUGAUGACUGGAGACACUUAUACUGCUCAUGCUGGAGCCAAAUUUCCUAUUAAGUGGACAGCACCAGAGAGUCUUGCCUACAAUACCUUCUCAAUUAAAUCUGACGUCUGGGGUAAGGUUGAAAGGGACUUUUUUCUGUGUCAUUUUAUUUUAUUUUUUAUAAAUGCCUUGAUUCUUUAGAGCUUCUCUUAUGAUGUUCAGUAUCCUCUAUCUUUACCUGCCAUUCUUCUUCAGUUAUUCAGCAAGCAUUUGUUAAAUACCUCCUAUCUGCCAGGACUGUGUUAAGAACUUUGCAUAGACAGAAGUAUAGGCCUGGUGUGGUGGCUCACGUUUGUAAUUACAGCACUUUGGGCCGAGAUAGGUGGAUCACUUGAGGUCAAGAGUUCGAGACCAGCCUGGCCAACAUGGCGAACUCCCAUCUCUACUAACUACAAAAAUUAGCCAGGCGUGGUGGCAUGCGCCAGUAAUCCGAGCUAUUCAGGAGGCUGAAGACUGAGGCAGGGGAAUUGCUUGAGCCUGGGGGGCAGAGGUUGCAGUGAGCCAAGAUGGCGCCACUGCACUCCAGCCUGGGCAAUAGAGUGAGACUCUGUCU
rnacentral:sRNA from 1 species